UACGGAGGGGGCAAGCGUUGUUCGGAAUUACUGGGCGUAAAGGGCUCGUAGGUGGCCAACUAAGUCAGACGUGAAAUCCCCAGGCUCAACUUGGGAACUGCGUCUGAUACUGGAUGGCUUGAAUUCGGGAGAGGGAUGCAGAAUUCCAGGUGUAGCGGUGAAAUGCGUAGAUAUCUGGAGGAAUACCGGUGGCGAAGGCGGCAUCCUGGACCGAUAUUGACACUGAGGAGCGAAAGCCAGGGGAGCAAACGGG
rnacentral:rRNA from 1 species